GCGCGAUGCGCGGCUGCUGGCGCGUCGCAAAACCGGGCUGAGGUGUCCGGCGCCGAGCUGGGGGCGGGACGCGCGGCACUAUGGCUGAGGGUAGCGGGGAAGUAGUCGCAGUGCCCGCGACCGGGGCUGCCAACGGCCUCAGUAAUGGGGCCAGUGGGACCUCGGCGCAGACCAACAACCCGCUGUCGCGGAAGCUGCGUAAGAUACUGGACACGCGGCUGGACAACGACAAGGAGAUGUUGGAAGCUCUCAAGGCACUCUCAACCUUUUUUGUUGAAAAUAGUUUGCGGACUCGAAGAAAUUUACGUGGAGAUAUUGAACGCAGAAGCUUAGCCAUCAAUGAAGAGUUUGUAAGCAUUUUCAAGGAUGUGAAGGAAGAACUUGAAAGCAUACAUGAAGAUGUUCAGGCGAUGAGUACCUGUUGUCAAGACAUGACAAGUCGCCUGCAGGCAGCCAAGGAACAAACUCAAGAUUUAAUAGUGAAAACCACUAAGCUUCAAGCUGAAAGUCAGAGAUUAGAAAUCCGAGCCCAAGUUGCAGAUGCCUUCUUAUCCAAGUUCCAGCUGACAUCCGAUGAGAUGAGUCUUCUCCGAGGGACAAGAGAAGGACCUAUCACUGAGGAUUUUUUCAAGGCCUUUGGAAGAGUAAAACAGAUUCAUAACGAUGUAAAAGUUCUCUUGCGUACAAACCAGCAAACAGCAGGUUUAGAAAUUAUGGAACAGAUGGCCUUGCUUCAAGAAACAUCUUAUGAAAGACUUUACCGAUGGGCUCAAAAUGAAUGCAGAUCAUUGACACAGGAAUCAUGUGACAUAUCUCCAGUACUGACUCAGGCAAUGGAAGCUCUACAGGACAGACCUGUCUUAUAUAAGUAUACCUUAGAUGAGUUUGGAACAGCCAGAAGAAGUACAGUUGUUCGUGGAUUUAUUGAUGCUCUUACAAGAGGAGGCCCAGGAGGUACACCUAGACCCAUUGAAAUGCACUCCCAUGACCCUUUGAGAUAUGUAGGAGAUAUGUUGGCUUGGCUCCAUCAAGCUACUGCUUCUGAGAAGGAACACCUUGAAGCUCUCUUAAAGCAUGUAACUACACAAGGUGUUGAAGAAAAUAUUCAAGAAGUUGUUGGCCAUAUCACUGAGGGUGUGUGCAGGCCUCUAAAGGUUCGAAUUGAACAAGUAAUAGUUGCUGAACCUGGGGCAGUUUUAUUAUAUAAAAUUUCUAACCUCCUCAAAUUUUACCAUCAUACAAUCAGCGGCAUUGUUGGAAAUAGUGCAACUACAUUGUUGACUACCAUUGAAGAAAUGCAUUUGCUGAGCAAAAAAAUAUUCUUCAAUAGCUUGAGUCUUCAUGCAAGCAAAUUAAUGGACAAGGUUGAACUCCCACCACCUGAUCUUGGACCAAGUUCUGCAUUAAAUCAGACACUCAUGUUGUUGCGUGAAGUUUUGGCAUCUCAUGAUUCCUCAGUUGUACCAUUAGAUGCCCGUCAAGCUGAUUUUGUGCAGGUUUUAUCAUGUGUCUUGGAUCCUCUCCUCCAGAUGUGUACUGUAUCAGCCAGCAAUUUAGGCACUGCCGACAUGGCCACUUUCAUGGUCAAUUCACUCUACAUGAUGAAGACAACAUUAGCUCUGUUUGAAUUCACUGACAGACGUCUGGAGAUGCUGCAGUUCCAGAUUGAAGCACAUUUGGAUACACUUAUAAAUGAGCAAGCUUCUUAUGUUUUAACUCGAGCAGGCUUGAGUUAUAUCUAUAACACCGUGCAGCAGCAUAAACCUGAACAGGGCCCGUUAGCUAAUUUGCCCAACCUAGAUUCUGUGGCAGUGAAAGCUGCGAUGGUUCAGUUUGAUCGCUAUCUCUCAGCCCCAGACCACCUGUUAAUGCCACAGCUGAACUUUCUUCUAAGUGCCACAGUGAAGAGCCAUCCAGUCACAGUGAUAUCUGGGCUGAUGUUGUCUCCAACUGAAACCAUGUCACGGAUCCUUAACCUGGGCAGGUGUGAGAAGUCAGAAGACAAUACUUCUGGUUCCUGUGUUAGGGAUCAUCCACAUUUCACUCGCCCUAAGGACCAGGUGAGGGUUAGAAGUCCUUAAACAGAAUGUCUCUCUCCACCAUGGGCCCCUGCCUGCAGCAUCACCUACACCUGCUCGGUGGCAUUAAUCACUUUGGAGGUGACUUUGUUUUUAUGUUUGUUUCUUUCACUUAGUUGCAAGGCUUAAGGCAAUGUGGUAGAAGGAUGGGGCUGGAUUCAAAUCCCUCUGGGCCACCUUUUAAGCUAGAGACACAGGUUGGGCUCUGUGACCUCCCCAAUUCUCUGUUUUAUCACUGGGGUAAUAAAAAGGUGAGACUGAUAAAACCUUUAUCACACGGUUGAAUAAGUGACACAUAUGUAUUUACUUGCUAUAUCUAUUAGGGACUCAAGAAACAAGCAUGUCUACACCUACUUUUAAGACUGUUAUUUUAGUAAUCAGUGCUUUGCCCUGUACUUGCCCUUAGUAGGGGAUGCAAUAAAUGUACAUGAAAAAAAUAAAUCAAUAAAAAAGGGCGAAGGAGUCAGCCAAAUUUCUGAGAAGGGAGUUUGCCUGGAAGGCACUCCAUUCUCUCUCCUCCAGUCGGCAUCCCUCACCCACACUCCUAACCUUCCGGACGCAUGUCCAGGUUUCGUGUCCUGUUAGCAUGGAGGUGGGGUGGACAGGAAGGGCAGGGGCUCCGGGCUUUCACUGCCUGCUUUUCAGUUCAUCUGUUGAGAUGGCUGGAGACCACUGCUCUGUGUCUAAGCCUAAAUCUACCUAAAUGGGAAUGAAUCAGUGUUUCUGAAAAUUUUUGCUGUUAGGUGUGAAGACAAGUUUACAGUGUUAAAAAUAUGUCCCCAGAUAGCCCACUGGUGGUGACUCUCUGGCUCUGGGCUAUGACAACCUUCAAGGGGACAGAGAAGGACGGAACUGCACCCCUGCCCACCAUCUCCUAGUGCCGUGCUCCGAGAGCAGAAAAGGAUGAAAGGCAAGCCUCCUCCAAGAAGAUGAAAAGGCUGCUUGUUAGGAAGCAUCGCAUUUUCCAUGGUAAAUGCUUUUCAGAACCCAGGUAGAGCCUGAGCCGUUUCCCUGGUGUGUGUCAAGCCCCAAGCCGCAGACGCAGGAAGGGGCAGAUCAUGAGCAACGGGGGCUGUGGGCCGAGGGAUCCCGUGUUUAGACAGAUGGCGUCCAGGGGUGCGUGGGGCCAGAGAAAGCAGAGCUCCACGCCCGGAGCACGGCCCCAGGGGGGCGAGUGGAAAUGUCCGCGAGGAGCGCGUGAGGUCAUGGCGAGAGCUGGGCGUGAGGACAGGGUUCUCCAUCAUCGUCACCAGCAAAGAGAGGGGGGUUAGUCAUCAGCUGCAGAGGUGGCUUGUUUUUCCUGAAGGAGAGUAUGAAUGAGAGAAUGAAGUCAUAUGAAAAAGGGUAUCAAAAAUAAGAAGCCAGAGUGACAGAUUUGGGUGAGUGGGGUGGGGGUGGCAGUCCUACUUCCUUGUCACCUCCUGACCACCGUGUUCCCUCAGUCUAGACUGGUUUACUCCUUAGGUUUGACUUCAUGCAUCCGCAUGGAUCAAUUGGUAAUGGCUGCCUAGAACGUAGGAAAAGAAUCUGCUGAUUGAUGACUGAUGUCUGCCCCGGCACAGGAAAGAGGAAUAUGGGUUAUGGGAACAAGCUUAAGUUAACUGUGAGCCCACACAAGGACCUGAAGGCCCAAGACUCACCUGAGAGCAGAGUGAGUGAAAAUUUGUCUACGGGGGAGCAAAUGAACAAGCAGAAGAUCUGCUCUGGCUCUUUGCUUUAUGUUUCAUUUUAAGGAUAGCACAGGCUUUUACCUGAGCAUCUCAGCUGCUGUGAUGAUCCAGGAAGCAGUGGGAUCACCAAGCUCUCGCCUGAAAUAAUGCCACCCGACAAUCGACCGCUAGAUUACUCGCCUUUUUCCUACUUGAUGAUCUGUCACGUUGGACAUCCUCUUCCCACCGUUCAGCUGAGAGGCGAGAUGGGAAUUUUUCACAAGAAACUUUAUAGGAAGCUAAGAAGGCAGAAAAAGAAAAUGUAUUUUCCCCCUCCCUCCUCCUCGUCCUUUUCUUGCUAUUUCUCCUUUUUGUUUUUUUCAUUAAAGAGCACAAAAAAGACUGGUACAGCUUCUAGACACUUACAUUUACCCCCUUUUUCUACUUUAGCUCCUUAUUCUGGAAGGAAGUAUUCUUCUCAGAUACCUCAGCUACAUGCGCCUUCACGAUGCUAGCAGAGCUUCGCGUUGUUUGUUUUAAUCACACUUUCACAAUAACAAGCCGAAAUUCAUUAAAGGAAAAGAGAGUUACUUCUUUCUCAUGCUCUGCUAUUUUUUUUGGCCACUAUUGAAAACAUUCAUUUUAAAACUAACCUAGCAAGCUUUGGGACCAAGGGAAGUGGUAAAACAGCUCCUAUUCACUUUUGUUUAAAAUGUAACCUAGAAGGGAAAAUUAAAAUUCCGAGAAAACACCAAACAAAAUAGGGGGAAUUUGGCAUUCUGGUGCAAAAUUCAAUUUAACAUACAUCUCAGAAUUUUCGAACUAUGCCUCUUGGAAUAAACAAUUUGAGUUACCAAAACA